ensembl:lncRNA
CGGGAAGUCCUGCGCCUGGCUAACAGCAGGGCGCAUGCAGAAGCCCUCUGCGGGGAGUGGAGCCCCAAAGAGCAGGGUUCAGGAUGCAGCUUCCGCUUUACCCCUUUCAGCAGAACAGAAACCUCUGGCCUCAUGACCUCUCUUGGAAUCUAGGGGAUGGAGACAUGAGCAUCAUCAUGUGAAUAAAAGUUAAAUAUGGACAAAACUUCUCAAAGAAGGGUCAGCCCAUGAUGAAAAGCUGUUUGGUCUGAAAAACCAGAACCAGGGAUGGAAUUCAGGACCUUGCACUUGCAAGGCAGGCGCAGCGCCACUGAGCUAAAUCUCUGGCCCAGGUGGUAG